UGCCUACGGGACGCAGCAGUGGGGAAUAUUGCGCAAUGGGCGAAAGCCUGACGCAGCGACGCCGCGUGAGGGAUGAAGGUCUUCGGAUCGUAAACCUCUGUCAGCAGGGAAGAACGGUCACUGUGCUAAUCAGCAGUGAAUUGACGGUACCUGACUAAGAAGCCCCGGCUAACUACGUGCCAGCAGCCGCGGUAAUACGUAGGGGGCAAGCGUUAUCCGGAUUUACUGGGUGUAAAGGGAGCGUAGACGGCUGUGCAAGUCUGAAGUGAAAGCCCAGGGCUCAACCCUGGGACUGCUUUGGAAAC
rnacentral:rRNA from 1 species